UACUAGACAUGACAUUUAUGUCUAUACAACAUUAUAUUAUUCUAUUUUCCAUCUCUGUGUCUUUACAGGUUGUCUCUUGAAGUCUGCUUUCCUGAUUAGUGAGUUCCCAAUAUGGAUUUACAUUUCUGAGAGGCCCUAAGCAUGCUGCUCACUUCUCUCCUAGUUCAAUUUAUUCUCUGGACCUCCCUACCAAUUGCCAAGUACUCUCCUCCUUUCCUGCACCUACUCCCCAUAAGCUGUUGGAGGGCCACCUAAGAGGACUGAGAAGACGGAGUUUGUCAGCUGUAAGUAUAGGGGCCAUUGUCCACACUGCCUUCCUGCAGCUGCCCACCUCAGUGACAAGUCAUAUUGUCUACCCUCAAAAAACCAUUGUGAGAACCUGGCUGACUUUAAACACAAAAUUCCUUCACAGUAUUGAAAAUAAGAGUUUGUUUGACAAAACAUGUAACAUAAACCUUUUGAGGAAUACCUGUUACAAAAAGUGGGCUAUCCUUGCAUAUUAUAAAUGUAAGACCAUAUUCAACUUCUUCAGAACAGGAUGGUAGAAAAAUCUUGAUUCCACAUUCCAUAUCCUUCCCUGCUUCCCUUAUCCCAACUUGGUAUCACACACCUGGUUUUCUUGAUCCAUUUCUGGGGUUGUGACAUAUUCCUGUCCGAAGUUAACGCUUUUAAUGGGCUAAAGUUCAUUAAUCUUCCAAUCUAGCAAAACAUUUUAUUCCUGCCAACCUCUAGUGACAAGAACAGAAGGAAAAAUGUACUUUAGAAUGAGUCAGCCAUCUUUAGAUAUCUCACUAGCUGUUUAUAAAACCCUCUAUAGCCUGGCGGUCUAAGAGAUGCUCUUCAGACUAAGUAAUAUGAAAGGGAAUCUCAUGGCAAUGAGAUUCUUACCAUAUAUAUUUGUUUUUGACUUUAUGUGAACAGUCUUAAAUGAGCCCCCA
rnacentral:lncRNA from 1 species